AGAGUUUGAUCCUGGCUCAGAACGAACGCUGGCGGAGUGCUUAAGACAUGCAAGUCGUACGAGAAAGUCGCCUUCGGGUGAUGAGUAAAGUGGCGCACGGGUGAGUAUCACGUGGGUAAUCUACCCUCAGGUUCGGGACAACUCCGGGAAACUGGAGCUAAUACCGGAUAAGCCCACAGGGUCUUCGGACCCAGUGGGAAAAGGUGGCCUCUUCUUGAAAGCUGUCGCCUGUUGAUGAGCCCGCGUCCCAUUAGCUUGUUGGUGAGGUAACGGCUCACCAAGGCUUCGAUGGGUAGCUGGUCUGAGAGGAUGAUCAGCCACACUGGAACUGAGACACGGUCCAGACUCCUACGGGAGGCAGCAGUCGGGAAUCUUGGGCAAUGGGCGCAAGCCUGACCCAGCAACUCCGCGUGAGGGAUGAAGGCCCUCGGGUCGUAAACCUCUGUCAGGAGGGAAGAAAGCCGUGGGGUGAAUAGCCUCACGGUUUGACGGUACCUCCAAAGGAAGCGCCGGCUAACUCCGUGCCAGCAGCCGCGGUAAUACGGAGGGCGCGAGCGUUGUUCGGAAUCAUUGGGCGUAAAGCGGGUGUAGGCGGCUUGACAAGUUGGGUGUGAAAGCCCUGGGCCCAACCCAGGAAAUGCACUCAAAACUGUUUCGCUAGAGUCCCGGAGAGGGUGGCGGAAUUCCCGGUGUAGAGGUGAAAUUCGUAGAUAUCGGGAGGAACACCAGUGGCGAAGGCGGCCACCUGGACGGUGACUGACGCUCAGACCCGAAAGCGUGGGGAGCGAACAGGAUUAGAUACCCUGGUAGUCCACGCCGUAAACGUUGGGUGCUCGACGUAGCGGGUAUUGACCCCUGCUGUGUCCAAGCUAACGCGAGAAGCACCCCGCCUGGGGAGUACGGUCGCAAGGCUAAAACUCAAAGGAAUUGACGGGCCCGCACAAGCGGUGGAGCAUGUGGUUUAAUUCGAAGCAACGCGCAGAACCUUACCUGGGUUUGACAUCUGGAGAAUCUCCUUGAAAGGGGAGAGUGCCUUCGGGAGCUCCAAGACAGGUGCUGCAUGGCUGUCGUCAGCUCGUGUCGUGAGGUGUUGGGUUAAGUCCCCAACGAGCGCAACCCCUAUCGCUAGUUGCCAUCAGUUCGGCUGGGCACUCUAGUGAGACUGCCGGUGUUAAACCGGAGGAAGGUGGGGAUGACGUCAAGUCCUCAUGGCCUUUAUACCCAGGGCUACUCACGUGCUACAAU
rnacentral:rRNA from 1 species